rnacentral:rRNA from 1 species
AAUAGAUACCCGGGUAGUCCACGCCGUAAACGAUGAGUGCUAAGUGUUAGAGGGUUCCCCGCCCUUUAGUGCUGCAGCAAACGCAUUAAGCACUCCGCCUGGGGAGUACGGUCGCAAGACUGAAACUCAAAGGAAUUGACGGGGGCCCGCGACAAGCGGUGGAGCAUGUGGUUUAAUUCGAAGCAACGCGAAGAACCUUACCAGGUCUUGACAUCCUUAUGCCUGCUCUGAAGACAGAGUUUUCCCUUCGGGGACAUAAGUGACAGGUGGUGCAUGGUUGUCGUCAGCUCGUGUCGUGAGAUGUUGGGUUAAGUCCCGCAACGAGCGCAACCCUUGAUCUUAGUUGCCAGCAUUCAGUUGGGGCACUCUAAGGUGACUGCCGGUGACAAACCGGAGGAAGGUGGGGGAUGGACGUCAAAUCAUCAUGCCCCUUAUGACCUGGGCUACACACGUGCUACAAUGGAUGGUACAAAGGGCAGCAAAACCGCGAGGUUGAGCCAAUCCCAAUAAAACCAUUCUACAGUUCGGAUUGCAGG